rnacentral:misc_RNA from 1 species
GCUUGAUAAGUUAACUAACGAUAAUUCAAGUUGAUAAGUCAAUUCAAAGUGAACUUAUCUUGUUUUAAAUAACCAUAUUAAAUGUGUGAUAGGUUUCUGAACUACUCCAUGUAAAUCCAAAUAGAUCAGGGGUACAGUGCAGAGCAACUUUAGUUUAUGAAAUGAAAAUGAUUUCAUGAUGUCAAUGUUGAAGAUUACCAUCUAAUGACAGUCACUUCCCAAAGAAAAUCCUAUUUAAAACAUCAACUGGCAUAGCGUAAGCUGGAUCUACGGCCUUCAAACCAGGAUAUUCAAGAAGGGCAAGACCAGCAAUUCCAAAAAAUGUAUGGAACACAUCCACAGCAUCAUCAGGUCUAUCUGAAAUCCCUCCAUUUUCUUUGUCCUGACAGUUUAAGAUGAAUUUAACAAGCUUUUCCUUGUUAAUCCAAUGAACUCUGUCAAUCAUAGUCAAGCUAGAGAGAACCCACCAUGAGUAGCAAACAUCAGGAAGUUUUUCAGGGCGGCCAUUUAGACCUCCAGACUUGACUUGCCGCUCACAUAACCACCACCCAAGGAGGUCCUUGUCAACGAGAUGAAGAGACCCCGUAAUAGCAAGGGCAGCCAAAGAACAAAAAAUUUGUCCAGCAUGAGAUUCCCCACCGGGAGAGCAUCCAAAUCCACCAUCCACAUUUUUGCAACUUAAGAUGUAGUUCACAGCUUUCUCCACGUUUAUUUUAUCCAGACGAUGCAAUAAAGAGAGACAACAUAUAGCAACAUAAGAGAACCGUGUAUCAAUUUCACCCCACAUGUCCCCAGAAAAGGAUCCAUCUUCAUUUUGCAGUCCAACAACAUCUGACUUAGAACUAAGUAAAACCAGAAAUAGAUGGCCUACGAUACUUUUUGGAUUCUUGUUUCAAUUCAUCAGUUCUGUUGAUACACAGAUUUCUCAUAGGGAGUUAUCAAGGCCUAUAUCUAUUUUUCCAUAUUUCAGCAACCAAAAAGAAUAAAUAGUUACUUUACCAAAAAGGUAAUUUAGACAUGUUAUAAUAAGCUAAAUAGGUAUUUGCAGGGAAAAAAAAAAUCAUAGUUAUCAUGAGGAUUUUUUUGGUAACAAUUGUUUAUCUCUUACACACUAUACCAAUUCUGUUAACAAUUUCAAAGUCCACCCCACAAUAACAACAAGGAUACAGUUUGAAACUUUAUCGAUGUCAAGAACAUUUAGCUUGUUCAGAAGAGCUAAAACUUGUACAGCACUAAGGGUGUACAGAACAUGAGGGUCAUGUCCAAUGUUACCAGCAAACCCACCAGAUUCAUGUUGGCAUUGCAUGAUCCAUUCAGUUACUUCUUCUGAAUCAACUACAUCAAGCUUUCCUAAAAGAUCUAUACAGGUCAAUCCCCAGUAUGCUCCACUCAUUGUCAAGUGCUCCAUCACCAAAGAUUCAAAACUAUCCUUCCUCUUUCGAACUGAUAAAAUGUAUUCAACAUGGUUAUCAACUGCUAAUUCCCCCAUCUGUAACAUUAAGAAAAUUUUAUUUCACACUCACAGUAAAUUUUAAUUUUGCAUACUUUUCAAUGGCAGACACCAAGAAAUAAAGUUGAGCUCAAAAAAGAACUUGGGUACUUGAAUUAAAUUUAACUGAAAUAGAUAUAGGAUUUGAAUAACAGUAUCAGUCCCAACCCCAGUCACAAUCCCCAAAUUGGACCAUAAAAACAGAAUCAGCUAGAACUCCAGUGAUUUUUUUAUAAAAAGAUUAGGAAAAUGGAUAAGAUUUAUGGUUUGACAAGAAUUUAACUAAAUAUGUGAAAUCUUUAAUACUCCCAAUAUCCAAACUAACUAUUAAUUUUAUAGUUUAAAGUAACAAUUAUAAUAAAAUGGGAAUUACAUAUCCACAUAUUUUGAAUUGCCCAAAUCAGUCUAACCCUGAUUAGAAAUCCACCUUCCCAUCUGAACUCAUAUCAAAACCGAUAUCAACUACUGGAAAAAUUCCAGAACCAGUUUAUUUUCUUUUAUUUUUCUGAAACUUUAAUCAUAACACAGCCAAAGAAAUUACGACAAAAAAAAAAAGCACUUAUUCUAAAAAAUCAUUUGCUCAGAAUUCACAAUCAGAAGAAAAGCAAUGUUGAAGUUGAUUAAUCAAUACUAAAAAAACUAAAAAGGGUACAUCAUAUUCAAAACAGUAACAAAAACAAAAAGCACUCAAAAAGACUGAACUUGAUAGAGCCUAUAGGAAUUGAUGGUAAGGAAGGGUAGAGACAAAUGAGGGACAGUAAGCGAGUCAGGAUGUGAAUAAGACGGGUAGAGAUGAAAGGGCUGAGCCUCUUUGGGUUCGAUUCGGUUUAAAAUAGGAAAAACCAAAUAAACCGCAUUUAAUAGGAUAAUGGAUCCAAUCAAACCGAAUAACAUGACCUAACCGAAUUGAACCAAUAGGUUCGGUCCAUCGGUUCGAGGCUAAAAUCACAAAAAUGAAAGCAAAAGGAAACAAUCUGAUCUGAAACGUCUCAAACUCAUCGGUCAAAGGAAACAAUCUUAGCAUAUUGUUAUCCAACACACGCCAGAUUGCUCACCAACAUCAUGCAAAUCCCAAAUCCCAAUUUCACAAGUAAUAAGAAAAAAAAAAUUCAAAACAUGAUUAACAUUCAAGCUAUCAGCCAGCAGAAAAGAAAAGAAAAUGAAAUCAAGAAUUCCAAAUUGAAUCCCAGAAACACUUUUGCCUUGCAUAAUUAAAAAUUGAAACAUCUAAUUCCAGUUUACCGUUCCCUAUGAAGAUCUCCAAGCAGGAAGACAGAUUUAGAAUUUGCAAACAAAAUUCAACAAAACCUUUGGAGCUCAACUCUACAAUGGAAUCGGAUUCCUGAGAAAAAAAGACCCAAGAAAAUCAAUUGGGUUGUAAGUUACGAUACCUUCAGCUGCCGUGAGCCGCCAAACAGAGAAGUCGAGUGAAGUGAGACCUAGUGAUAGGAGAAUAGGAGUCAAUAAGAUCAGAAGAGGAGGAUGAGGAUGAUGGGCGGCGAAAAAGAGAGGAAGAGGACCGGCUCAGGGGUGUUUGGUGUAUCUGUUGAGUUAAAAAAAAAAG